rnacentral:rRNA from 1 species
CACUCCUACGGGAGGCAGCAGUGGGGAAUAUUGCACAAUGGGCGCAAGCCUGAUGCAGCCAUGCCGCGUGUAUGAAGAAGGCCUUCGGGUUGUAAGGUACUUUCAGCGGGGAGGAAGGCGAUAAGGUUAAUAACCUUGUUGAUUGACGUUACCCGCAGAAGAAGCACCGGCUAACUCCGUGCCAGCAGCCGCGGUAAUACGGAGGGUGCAAGCGUUAAUCGGAAUUACUGGGCGUAAAGCGCACGCAGGCGGUCUGUCAAGUCGGAUGCGAAAUCCCCGGGCUCAACCUGGGAACUGCAUUCGAAACUGGCAGGCUAGAGUCUUGUAGAGGGGGGUAGAAUUCCAGGUGUAGCGGUGAAAUGCGUAGAGAUCUGGGGGAAUACCGGUGGCGAAGGCGGCCCCCUGGACAAAGACUGACGCUCAGGUGCGAAAGCGUGGGGAGCAAACAGGAUUAGAUACCCCGGUAGUCCCAU